ACUAGCAGUAAGAGUUUGAUCCUGGCUCAGAGCGAACGCUGGCGGCAGGCCUAAUACAUGCAAGUCGAACGCACCUUCGGGUGAGUGGCGACGGGUGAGUAACGCGUGGGAACGUGCCCUUUGGUACGGAACAACUGAGGGAAACUUCAGCUAAUACCGUAUGUGCCCUUCGGGGGAAAGAUUUAUCGCCAUUGGAGCGGCCCGCGUUGGAUUAGCUAGUUGGUGGGGUAAAAGCCUACCAAGGCUACGAUCCAUAGCUGGUCUGAGAGGAUGAUCAGCCACACUGGGACUGAGACACGGCCCAGACUCCUACGGGAGGCAGCAGUAGGGAAUCUUGCGCAAUGGGCGAAAGCCUGACGCAGCCAUGCCGCGUGAAUGAUGAAGGUCUUAGGAUUGUAAAAUUCUUCACCGGGGAAGAUAAUGACGGUACCCGGAGAAGAAGCCCCGGCUAACUACGUGCCAGCCGCCGCGGUAAUUC
rnacentral:rRNA from 1 species